GAUGAACGCUAGCGGCAGGCUUAAUACAUGCAAGUCGUACGGGAUCCGAGGUAGCAAUACUUUGGUGAGAGUGGCGCACGGGUGCGUAACACGUAUGCAACCUACCUAUAACCGGGACACAACCCACCGAAAGGUGAGCUAAUAUCCCAUAACACUGCGAGAUGGCAUCAUUUUGCAGUUAAAUCUCCGGUGGUUAUAGAUGGGCAUGCGCGACAUUAGCUAGUUGGUGAGGUAACGGCCCACCAAGGCUACGAUGUCUAGGGGUUCUGAGAGGAUUAUCCCCCACACUGGUACUGAGACACGGACCAGACUCCUACGGGAGGCAGCAGUAAGGAAUACUGGUCAAUGGGCGCAAGCCUGAACCAGCCAUGCCGCGUGAAGGAUGACGGCCCUAUGGGUUGUAAACUUCUUUUGUACGGGAAAAAACCACCGGUCGUGUAUCGGUGCUGAUGGUACCGUAAGAAUAAGCAUCGGCUAACUCCGUGCCAGCCGCCGCCGUAAGAC
rnacentral:rRNA from 1 species